CAAGUCAGUGGCCAAGUAAAUCAUUACCAAACUCUGUUAUAAAAUAGAUUUUCUGCCAUUGGGUCAAUAUGCAACUUCUCAGAGGACGAUGACUUCAUUAAACUAUUUGACUUUACUUAUGUCUUAUGAAAUAGUUUAUGAAAUAACAGUAAUUGUAGAGUUGUAGGAUGCCUUUCCUGGCAAAUAACAGUUACAAUGUUUUCAACAUAGAUGUUCUGAUUCAUUUUGUAGGAAAUUAUAGACAACUCAAUACUGUGUAAUUUUUCAUCUUUCAAGCUGUCAUAAUAAAUACCAUGUUAGAGAAAUACAAAUACUGUACACAACAAACCUGCAAAUUCCUUGCCUAAAUGAUGUCACAGUUCGGCCUGGUUAGGCCCAGUUCUGUGACAAUGGAGCAAAAGCACCACAGUCCCACACCUUGGGAAAGGGGGAACGGGGAAGGGAAAAGGCAAGACAGCCAUGGAACGGAGAGAACAUAAAAAGAGACAGUCUCGUGAUUCCCGGUCAGUUUUAUCUUUCCCUGCUAAUGGACAAUGGAAACAGAAUAAUGAAGUUUUCUGGGAAUUUUAGUUCACUUUUCUCUUCUGAGACCAGUAACAAUUACUGAUGAAGAAAACCACUUCAGACACUCUUCCUUAAAAGAAAGGU